rnacentral:rRNA from 1 species
GAGAAACCCAAAAGAUCGAAUGGGGAGAUUCAUCGUCAGCCGCUUUGGCUUCCGUGUGAACGCGAUGAUCGGGGCUUCGGCUCUGCGUCACGCGUUUGCUGCGGCAUGUCUGGAGUGGUCGGCGUGCACUUCUCCCCUAGUAGGACGUCGCGAUUCGUUGGGUGUCGGUUUACGGACCGGUAGGUCGCCUGGCGUAUCUCGUUCACGCGAGUAUGUGUCAGACCUCUGGAUUCCCAACCGGCUGCCCGGCGGUAUAAAACGAUAAUUAAACGGUAUUGGGCCGCAUUGAAUGCGUUCAGGCUCGUAGGGAGGCUUGUCUCGCUCGGAUUUACGGACCUAGUGCCGUUGCCGGGUGCUUGGCGAACUGUGGCUUGCGAUGUCCUCGGACUGGCUCUUGAAUAUUCUUACGAAUAUACCGAUCGGCGACGCUACUGCUUUGGGUACUUUCAGGACCCGUCUUGAAACACGGACCAA